AUUGAACGCUGGCGGCAGGCUUAACACAUGCAAGUCGAGCGGAGAGAGGUGGCUUGCUACUGAUCUUAGCGGCGGACGGGUGAGUAAUGCUUAGGAAUCUGCCUAUUAGUGGGGGACAACAUUUCGAAAGGAAUGCUAAUACCGCAUACGUCCUACGGGAGAAAGCAGGGGAUCUUCGGACCUUGCGCUAAUAGAUGAGCCUAAGUCGGAUUAGCUAGUUGGUGGGGUAAAGGCCUACCAAGGCGACGAUCUGUAGCGGGUCUGAGAGGAUGAUCCGCCACACUGGGACUGAGACACGGCCCAGACUCCUACGGGAGGCAGCAGUGGGGAAUAUUGGACAAUGGGCGCAAGCCUGAUCCAGCCAUGCUGCGUGUGUGAAGAAGGCCUUAUGGUUGUAAAGCACUUUAAGCGAGGAGGAGGCUACUUUAGUUAAUACCUAGAGAUAGUGGACGUUACUCGCAGAAUAAGCACCGGCUAACUCUGUGCCAGCCGCCGCCGUAAAAC
rnacentral:rRNA from 1 species